AACAGCCCAUCUCCUAAUCCCACCGCCAGACCGGCGGAAGGGAAAUUUGGCGUAUUGGAGAGACACUUCCGUGUUCCGACUCCGGUGCAAGUCCCCCUGACUGGGGCUCUUACCCCGAGAGGGUGCAAGGCCCGUAGCUGCCGGAAGGCGGUUCGCGGAUGUCCUCUCCUGGGAGUCGGGUUGCUUGAGAGUGCAGCCCUAAUCGGGUGGUAAACUCCAUCUAAGGCUAAAUACGACCUGGAGACCGAUAGCGAACAAGUACCGUGAGGGAAAGUUGAAAAGGACUUUGAAGAGAGAGUUCAAGAGUACGUGAAACCGUUCGGAGGCAAACGAGUGGGCCCUCGAAGUGAGAAGGCGGGGGGACUCAGCCGAACGCCGUUGGCCUGCCGUGCAGUUGCGCUUCCCUCUCGGGACGCGGCUGCGCGGUGCACGGCCGAGGCGGGCGGCGCAUUUCUUCCCGUCCUCUGACGCUGCGACCGGUCGGGUGCGCCACGAGCAGUCGGCCUUACACGCGGGAGACGGCAGGUAGCCGGGAAAGUGCUUCCGCGCUUUCUCCGGUGUUUAGCCAUCCCGUCGUCGUGCAGCCGUUCACCCGACCGCAGGAUUCGGCCCUUAGGGGCCAGGCCGUGCCCUCCCCUCUGGGGAUCGGCUCUCGGCCCGGAAGGGAGGCCGUCGUUUUUCCCCCCUUUUCACCCUAGGUGUGGGGGGGACGACGGCGCCCGUUGGCCGGGCCGUUACCGAGCGGGCGCAGGCGGUCCGCAGCGAGUAGGUCGGUCACCCACUCGACNNNNNNNNNCACGGACCAAGGAGUUUAACAUGCACGCGAGUCAUUGGGUCGUGAACAGGCCCAAAGGCGCAAUGAAAGUGAAGGGCGGCUUCACGCCGUCUGCGUUGGGAUCCGGGGACCUCGGUCUUCGGCGCACCAACGGCUCGUCCGAGCCGCCGCGUCGGCCGGGCGAAGCUGGAGCGUGCACGUUGAGACCCGAAAGAUGGUGAACUAUGGCUGGGCAGGACGAAGCCAGAGGAAACUCUGGUGGAGGUCCGCAGCGGUUCUGACGUGCAAAUCGAUCGUCAGACCUGGCUAUAGGGGCGAAAGACUAAUCGAACCAUCUAGUAGCUGGUUCCCUCCGAAGUUUCCCUCAGGAUAGCUGGCGCUCGGGAGGAAGCAGUCUCAUCCGGUAAAGCGAAUGAUUAGAGGCCUUGGGGCCGAAAAGACCUCAACCUAUUCUCAAACUUUCAAUGGGUGAGAAGUCCGGUUUGCUCGAUUGAAGCCUGGACGAUUUCGGAUGCGAGUGCCCAGUGGGCCACUUUUGGUAAGCAGAACUGGCGCUGUGGGAUGAACCAAACGACGGGUUAAGGGGCCCGAUGCAGGACGCUCAUGAGAACCCAUGAAAGGUGUUGGUUGCUAUAGACAGCAGGACGGUGGCCAUGGAAGUCGGAAUCCGCCAAGGAGUGUGUAACAACUCACCUGCCGAAGCAACUAGCCCUGAAAAUGGAUGGCGCUUCAGCGUCGACCCCAUACCCGUCCGCCGCGGCGGAGAUGCGAUUGCGUUAUGCCGCGGUGAGUAGGAGGGCGCGGGGGCGCGCGUGGAAGGUGCCGGGCGUGAGCCCGCCUGGAGCCGCCCCCGGUGCAGAUCUUGGUGGUAGUAGCAAAUACUCAAGUGAGAACCUUGAGGACUGAGGUGGAGAAGGGUUCCAUGUGAACAGCAGUUGAACAUGGGUCAGUCGGUCCUAAGGGAUGUCCGAAAGGAUUUCCGAAGGGGGGACCUGUUUCACGGUGUCUCCCCCAAGACCGAAAGGGAAUCGGGUUAAUAUUCCCGAACCCGAACACGGAGAUCGGUCCUUUCGGGGACACGUGCGGUAACGCAAACGACCUCGGAGACGUCGACGGGUGUCCCGGGAAGAGUUGUCUUUUCUUCGUAAGGGUUCGGCUCCCUGGAAUCGGCUCGCCCGGAGAUAGGGAUGCUGAAACCGUAAAGCACCGCGCCUCUUGUGGUGUCCGGAGCGCUCCCGUCGGUCCUUGAAAAUCCGAGCGAGAGUUGGUGAUUUUCGUGUCGGCCCGUACCCAUAUCCGCAGCAGGUC
rnacentral:rRNA from 1 species